rnacentral:tRNA from 1 species
GGGGUUGUGGCUCACAGGUAGAGCGUUCACCUAGCAUGUGUGAGGCACUGGGUUCAAUCCUCAGCACCACA